AGCGAACGCUGGCGGCAGGCCUAACACAUGCAAGUCGAACGGACCCUUCGGGGUUAGUGGCGGACGGGUGAGUAACACGUGGGAACGUGCCCUUUGGUACGGAACAACUCAGGGAAACUUGAGCUAAUACCGUAUAAGCCCUACUGGGGAAAGAUUUAUCGCCAUUGGAGCGGCCCGCGUCUGAUUAGCUAGUUGGUGAGGUAAAGGCUCACCAAGGCUACGAUCAGUAGCUGGUCUGAGAGGANGAUCAGCCACAUUGGGACUGAGACACGGCCCAAACUCCUACGGGAGGCAGCAGUGGGGAAUCUUGCGCAAUGGGCGAAAGCCUGACGCAGCCAUGCCGCGUGAAUGAUGAAGGUCUUAGGAUUGUAAAAUUCUUUCACCGGGACGAUAAUGACGGUACCCGGAGAAGAAGCUCCGGCUAACUUCGUGCCAGCAGCCGCAGUAAC
rnacentral:rRNA from 1 species